rnacentral:rRNA from 1 species
CACGUAGGGCGCAAGCGUUGUCCGGAAUUAUUGGGCGUAAAGAGCUCGUAGGCGGUCUGUCGCGUCUGCUGUGAAAACUCAGGGCUUAACCCUGAGCUUGCAGUGGGUACGGGCAGACUAGAGUGCGGUAGGGGAGACUGGAAUUCCUGGUGUAGCGGUGAAAUGCGCAGAUAUCAGGAGGAACACCGGUGGCGAAGGCGGGUCUCUGGGCCGUAAACUGACGCUGGAGGAGCGAAAGCCAUGGGAGCGAACAGG